rnacentral:tRNA from 1 species
GGAGUUGUGGCUUAUUGGUAGAGCGCUUGCUUCACAUGCAUGAGGUACUGGGUUCCAUUCUCAGCACCA